GAAAUGCGAUAAGUAAUGUGAAUUGCAGAAUUCCGUGAAUCAUCGAAUCUUUGAACGCACAUUGCGCCCUCUGGCAUUCCGGGGGGCAUGCCUGUCCGAGCGUCAUUACGCACCCUCAAGCCCGGCUUGUGUGAUGGGCCCCGGCGUCUCGUUCGCGAGACGGGCCCGAAAGGCAGCGGCGGCGUCGACCUGAUGAGCCCGAGCGUAUGGGGACUUCUGUCACACGUUCGCGGUGCGGACCGGCGCCUGCUUGACUUUUCUGAUUAUCCAGGUUGACCUCGGAUCAGGUAGGGAUACCCGCUGAACUUAAGC
rnacentral:misc_RNA from 1 species